GUUUCGUGCAAAAACGCGUCGAUUAAGUCCAAGUUGAACGAAAUCGGUGAGGAGGCCACUAUUCUUCAGAUUUACCCCAUUCUGAACCAUCUUUCAGAACACCAUCAGAAAUGGAGAAACCUAUGUUCAUGCAUUCUUCGAGCGUUCUACGGAAAAUCAGUCCGGAAUAGGUGGUUUAUAAAGAGGUGUACGAAACGAAUAAGAUGUAUAUGUGAGGUGUCACGGCGAUAGAACCCGAAUGAUUGCCGAAAUUCGCUUCCAUGCUAUGCCAUCUUAGUGAACCAUUGGUUGAUCCACCGCCAAGAUAUAAUCAAGGAACCGGGAAGAUCAUUUGCCGCGUGUCUGGUACAUUUGGAAAGGCCGGAUGGGCACUACCAUCGAUGGAUAUAGAGCAUCUAUGGACGGUGUGAAGUGGUUCGCGUAUUUCUUCUUGGAGGGUCAAGUGUACCCUAAGCUGAAACGAUUUGUUCUGUCGCUGCUGACGACACCUGGGAGCAUCACCAAGUCAUAGGCCAGGUUGAUACCACGCACUUAAGCAAUAGUACAAACCCUGCAGUCGUAGGGAGUCGUGUCCAAAUACACCUCUAUGAAGUUGGCCGGACAACUUCAACGUAUCGAACUUUCAUUAAUUGGAAUCGAUUGGUGGUCGUUUGGUGGUCUUUGGUAGUCUAGUCCGA